rnacentral:lncRNA from 1 species
GUGAGAACUCUCUCGACGAGUUCGCCAAAAACGCGAGUUCGAAAAAGGAGAGUUUGAAACGAAGGAAGACGAUUCAAGGACCAAAAACAGACGGAAUCCCCACCAAACACUAGAAGAAAAAGAGAAGCCUACUGAGAAAAAGUGAAUGCAGAUCAGUAAUUGUGUCAAAAGACUAAGAAAAGGUUCAAAACCACAGAAAUUAAAGGAAGAAAGAACCGUAAUUAAAAUAUAUAUAUAUUCGUCGGGUGCGACUCCAAUACGCCGAAUACCGCCGCCGUCAUCCAAAACUCCUCCCGGACUAGAAUUGUCACUUAUUCAUCGUCUUCCAGGAAGAACUCCAUCCCAGCAAAUUAAAUUUCGGGAUUAAGAUCAAGGUAUGUCCCUCUCCUCACUAUCGGGCUCAUGUUGUAAAGAACUCUCUCUAGUUUUAAUAAAAGGAAGCUUGUUGUUAAGACAGUCGUCUCUCUCUGUUUUUCUGAAAUACGCCUCAUUACCUAUCC